rnacentral:rRNA from 1 species
CCUACGGGAGGCAGCAGUGGGGGAUAUUGGACAAUGGGGGAAACCCUGAUCCAGCGACGCCGCGUGAGUGAAGAAGUAUUUCGGUAUGUAAAGCUCUAUCAGCAGGGAAGAACGAAAUGACGGUACCUGAGUACGAAGCACCGCCUAACUACGUGCCAGCAGCCGCGGUAAUACGUAGGGGGCAAGCGUUAUCCGGAAUUACUGGGUGUAAAGGGAGCGUAGACGGUAAUGCAAGUCUGGAGUGAAAGGCGGGGGCCCAACCCCCGGACUGCUCUGGAAACUGUGUAACUGGAGUGCAGUGGAGGCAGGCGGAAUUCCUAGUGUAGCGGUGAAAUGCGUAGAUAUUAGGAGGAACACCAGUGGCGAAGGCGGCCUGCUGGACUGUAACUGACGUUGAGGCUCGAAAGCGUGGGGAGCAAACAGGAUUAGAUACCCGUGUAGUC